rnacentral:rRNA from 1 species
CCUACGGGAUGCUGCAGUGGGGAAUAUUGGGCAAUGGGCGAAAGCCUGACCCAGCAACGCCGCGUGAAGGAAGAAGGCCUUCGGGUCGUAAACUUCUUUUGACAGGGAAGAGCAGAAGACGGUAUAUCUAUACAAAUCUACGGCUAACUAAGUCCCAGCAGCCGGGGUAAUACGUAGGUGGCACGCGUUGUCCGGAUUUAAUGGGUGUAAAGAGCGUGUAGCCGGGCGUACAAGUCAGAUGUGAAAACCGGGGGCUCAACCCCCGAGCUGCAUUUGAAACUGUUGGUCUUGAGUAUCGGAGAGGAAGGCGGAAUUCCUAGUGUAGCGGUGAAAUGCGUAGAGAUUAGGAGGAACACCAGUGGCGAAGGCGGCCUGCUGGACGACAACUGACGGUGAGGCGCGAAAGCGUGGGGAGCAAACAGGAUUAGAUACCCUAGUAGUC